rnacentral:rRNA from 1 species
UGGGGAAUAUUGCACAAUGGGCGCAAGCCUGAUGCAGCGACGCCGCGUGGGGGAUGACGGCCUUCGGGUUGUAAACCUCUUUCGACCCUGACGAAGCGCAAGUGACGGUAGGGGGAGAAGAAGCACCGGCCAACUACGUGCCAGCAGCCGCGGUAAGACGUAGGGUGCAAGCGUUGUCCGGAUUUAUUGGGCGUAAAGAGCUCGUAGGCGGCUUGCCGCGUCGACCGUGAAAACCCGCAGCUCAACUGUGGGCUUGCGGUUGAUACGGGUGGGCUAGAGUUCGGUAGGGGAGACUGGAAUUCCUGGUGUAGCGGUGAAAUGCGCAGAUAUCAGGAGGAACACCGGUGGCGAAGGCGGGUCUCUGGGCCGAUACUGACGCUGAGGAGCGAAAGCGUGGGGAGCGAACAG